CAGUCGAGGGGCAGCAUGGGUGUAGCAAUACAUCUGAUGGCGACCGGCAAACGGGUGCGGAACACGUACAGAACCUUCCUUCGAGCGGGGAAUAGCCCAGAGAAAUUUGGAUUAAUACCCCAUAGUAUAACGGAGUGGCAUCACUUUGUUACUAAAGAUUUAUCACUUGAAGAUGGCUGUGCGGCUGAUUAGAUAGUUGGCGAGGUAACGGCCCACCAAGUCUGCGAUCAGUAACUGGUGUGAGAGCACGACCAGUCACACGGGCACUGAGACACGGGCCCGACUCCUACGGGAGGCAGCAGUAAGGAAUAUUGGUCAAUGGACGAAAGUCUGAACCAGCCAUGCCGCAUGGAGGAUGAAGGCCCUCUGGGUUGUAAACUUCUUUUAUAUGGGACGAAAAAGGGUCUUUCUAGAUCAACUGACGGUACCAUGUGAAUAAGCACCGGCUAACUCCGUGCCAGCAGCCGCG
rnacentral:rRNA from 1 species